GUCCCGUCCGAGCGCACUGACCAGCUCUUUCUUCCUCUUCUCCUCCUUCACGUCUGUCUUCUUGAUCUCUGCCUUGAAGGCCUCCGCCUCCCCGUUCUGGUCGUCUUUCGCUAGCAGGUCCAUGAGCUUGCUGACUGCAUGUACGCACCUCGACAAUACUCAUCCGAAUCACUUGUGUUCCUGAAAUCAGUUUCAUGCUUGUUUAACUAGUCUGAUUGGAAAGUAACUGAAGAAGCCGAGAAAUGAAGAAUUGGAUGUCGUUUACCUCCUCAGAUCUGCAGGGAAAAGGAGCUGUGGCCAAAACACUGGGUGUAAAUGUGACAACAAAAAUAAAUACUUUACAUCACAGCGCAGAACAUAA